ensembl:snRNA U6 U6 spliceosomal RNA
CUUUGAGAGAGGACCAAAAGCUAUUUGUUAAUUGGAAUGAUACAAAGAAGAUUAGCAUGCCCCUGUGCGAGGAUGACACCCAAACUCAUGAGGAGUUCCAUAUUUUG